rnacentral:lncRNA from 1 species
UUGAAGGGAACUUCAUGUGCUGUAGAACUUGUAGACAACGUAGGCUGGUACCAGAGCCAUGGAGGAGAACGUGAUGCCCCACCCAACCUGGUUGUCCCAGAGUGGGAAGAUGUAGUCAUUACAGAGGAAAGGACUUACCUGGCAUCUCCAACAGCAAGUUGGCUACUACUUUACUACCCCAGCAGGAGGAAGGAAGAAUUUCUUUCUGUCCUUCAACAAGCCCAGCCAAUGGAAAAUACCACAGCUCAGCAAAUGAGAAACCAUCAUCACCCUGGACUCUUACCCUCCUCCAAGGAACUUUCACAGAACAGCCCUCUCUUCUCCCCUUUUUUCUCUUUAAAAGCACAAUCCCCUUCUCUGUUCUCCGGACUUGCCGGUGGUUUUUGCCAUAGCUUGCUUGUCCCAAACUGAAUUCCUCUGGCUAUUCCUGAAUAAACUCAAUCUGC